AUAAUAUAAUAGUUCUAAUAAUAAUAAUAGUUCUAUAUAGGUAGGGUGACUUUUUCCCUUUUAUUCAUAAUUCACAAUUAUGGGUGUAAUUAGAGAUAUGGUAGGCAGCAUUUUUACUUCUUUUGUUUUCACAUUAAAAUAAAGAUCCACCCAGGGAAUGCACAAAAGCAAGAAACACAAAGCAGACAAAGGAAUUUCUAAUGAAAAUCAAGCCCCUCACCCAUCCCGUCCAACAACAGUCCUUCUCAGAGGUUGUCACUUUGAACUGCUUCAGUUUUCAAUUAUGUCAGUGGCCACUUAAUAAUUUCAGGUAGUAUGGAUACACCAUUGGUUUUGAAUUCAUCUUUUUUUGUUCUUUGCUGUUUUGAAAUUUCAAUUCUGUGUCCAAGUGGUUCCCUUUAUAUGCAGCGUACUCCAUGAGCCCAUACAAAUAAAAGACUCACUUUCUCCAGGUCUGAGAAUAUUUGAUUAUUAUUUCCCUAAUAAUCUCUCACUCUUCAUUUUCUCUAUUCUCCCUUUUAGGAAAUCCUACUGGAUCAUUCCUCCUCAUGUCUCCCCUCCCUCCAUCCUGCUCCCUUUCUUUCCGUUGCUUAGAGAAGAUUUUGUUUUUGUUCCUGGAAGGUAAACACUGGCUUACCUACCUCUCUGUGAACAGGGUAACUGGUCCAACUUUUCUAUUGCCAGGUAUUCAACUAAUUCCUUGUUUUCAGUUCUGUGCCUCACACCUGUCCUCCUCCUUGAUGGUAUUUGUAGGUUUCUUCUGCAAAGGCUGUUUCCCACCUCCACUGUAGACUUAACCUGCACAUACUGGAACUGUAGCUGUCUCUCCUCUGUUUGUCAUCAAUUGCCCCCCUGGGCCUUCUCUCUUUCAAAAUGUAUUUAUGAAUUUAUCUCCUGUGGAUUUCUUUACUUUCAGUAAGUUUUUAGUCUAUUAGUCAGAGUCGGUCACAUUAUGAUGCAUUAACAAACAAACCCUGAAAUCUCAGUGGCUUCAUACAAUCAAGGUGUAUUUCUGCCUCACACGAAGUCCAGUUUGAUGCUCCUGUUUGGGGAGCUCUUCUGGUCAGUUCUCCUCAAAGCUGUGAGUCCUUCACUCCCUUUUUUUUUUCUGCUUUGCUAUUCUAUUAAGUAUAUAUAUCAUAUUUUACUAAAGCAUCGCCUGAUCAUUGGAUCUUUAGAUGACUCCAAUGUUUUGCUUUUAUAAGCAUUGCUGCUACAAACUUCUUAAAACAUAUUUUAAAUUUUUCUUGACUUAGAAUUUUUCCUUAGACAUAGAAUUACUUAAUGAAGAGUCUAAAAAAUUUUAACGUCUACCAAAUUGCUCUCCAGAAGGCUUUUUCAAUUUAUUCUCCCACAGCAUUAUUAUUGUUAUUUUCUAAUUUAAUUUUGUACUUGAAGAAUUUUUAUUUUACUGAAGCUUUAUGCAUGGGAGAGAUUUCCUCCCUUUUGCAACAAAUUACAUUUCCUCUUUUUAUAUUGUUUGUUCAUGUAACUUUAACAUUUUUUCUAAUGGAAAUUAUCAAUUUUUAAAAUGAACUCUUCAUAUAUUAAGCCUAGUAACCCUUUAGAUAACUCAUUUUAUCACAUGCUAGAGGCUCGUAUAAAAACACGCAAACUUGGUUUCAAUUUACGAAAAACUGCUGGCUACUUUAUCUUUUCUCCUUUGCUGUUUUUCAGUAAUGGAGGAAUGAGCUAUAAACGCACCUUAGGGGACUUAUAGUUUCUCUUUUUUCUUCAAGAGGUUAUGAACAAAGUUUUCCUAGAAAGUUUGUUUAUCAGUUUUGCUUAGAGGAGUGAGUGUAGUGUAUAGUUUAUUGGGAGAAGGUGAUGCAACAUUUUAGGACUGAGAGACAAUGGUGGAAUGGGGGCAAGGAGAGUAGCUGGCAGAGAAGAAAAGGUGAAUCUUUUUAGAUAUUUGGAAAUGAAAUGGCUGGGUGUCAGAGUGGAGACGGAGGGGUGUGAUGGGGUCAAAUCUCGAGAUUGGGAAAUUGUUAAAUGAGACUAUAACAUAUAAAAUAGUUAAAUGACAAUGAGACUAUAUUGCAGAGAAAUGUCUGCCACAAUCAGAGCUUCAGCUAAAACCACAUAGGGGACUUAAUGAUUGUUAAAAGCAUUAAGGAAAGGUGAAACCUAAUCAGUUUUUUACACUUCACUCUUAAUGUGUUAAUGACUUGUUCUGAUUCUUUCCUGAGAAUGCCCUUUGGUAGGAGGAGGGAGCAAACCUGCAGCACUGGGGUACGACUUGGAGAUAACAAUGAGAAGGAAAAGGCAGAGAGAGAGAGGUGGAGGAUCCAAAGGCACAUUUUCCCCUUUUGGUUGAGUGUGAUGCAUUCUGGACAAUGACUUGAGCGCCACCAGGAAAGGGGAGAAUGUAAAGGGCAGGCAAUAUAUGGAGGCUAUUCCCUGAGGAAGUGCUGGAGAGCAUGCCACAGCUUGAGAGAACUAGUUUCUGAGGUAGGUAGGAUGCAGAAAACCAUGGCAAAUGCAAAGGCUGCCCAAGGAGCCAUGUGGGUGGAUGUCUUCCAUUUUAGCAGUGAAAGCUGCAGGGAUAUAGUUACAGCGGGAUCAUCAGGGAUGCCUCUGCUUCUGAUUCUCUGUGUGUCAAAACUUGCCAACUCUGCAAAAAAGAUCCCAAACAGAAAGAUACAGUUGAUUUAUUCUGUCUAGGUUCAGAGUAGAAGUUUAUAUAAUAUAUUGGUCAAUGAUACUGAAAGAGCCAAAAAUAUGACAGCAGGGAUUAAAUGUCAAGCCAGAUUUAUCUUGUCUGACCAUUUCUGGAUGAUGUAAAAUAGCACACUAUCUUUAGUUUGGAAGCAUAUUAAUUUAUCUGGAUUUUUUUUUUACUUGAGGGGUAAACUCAUGUUGAGGAUUUCAUUAAAAAUGGGUAAUUCAAUCCAACAACUAGACCUUAUGUGGGGUUAUUCUUUUUUACUUUAAGGUGGGAGAACAAAGAGUAUUUUUCAAAAACUAAUUUCCUGAUUUUCAAUUUCUAGAGAUCUCUUAAAGCCAUCAGAACUAUUACUGCCUAAAACACGCAUGGCAAACAAAAGUGUCUCACUGGAUUUCAAAUAAGGGGAAUAAUCAGUGUUAAGUGCUGCCUUAUUGGAUUUCUUCCUGAUUUUUUUGAAGCUCUGCUUCUUCUGUUUCAGAGCUAUGUUUCCCAGUGGGCUGCCACAUCUUUGGGUUUCCAGUACUUGGAAUUUUGCUUUCCAGUUGCAGAGCUAAGAAGCCAAUUCACAUUCCAUCGUUGUCCCAAAGUCUUUUUCCUAUUUUGAAUGCCCCAUCUUGUCUGGAUUUAUCAAGGGGGUCUUGCUCUGUUGCCCAGGCUGGAGUGCAGUGGUGCAAUCAUGGCUUACUGCAGCCUCAACCUCUUGGGCUCAAGCAAUCCUUCCACGUCAGCAGGAGCUACAUGUCAUCCUCUCAAGUAGCUGGGACUAUAGUCCACAGAUUUACAACUUGAGGUGGCCUGCACCAGACCCACGGGGCAAUAACAGUCUUCCAUUGAAUUCUUUAGCAGUUUCUACAAUUGCAUAAGGAUGUCACAUUGUGCUUAGACAUUCUCAGUUUUCUGAAAAAUUAUGAGGUUCAUGACCCCCCUGAGAAGCCCACCUUGGAAAUGAAGAUGUCUAUUGUGAGAGGAAAUGGUCUCAUAUCUCAGGAUUCUACGUGUUUUAAGAGUUGGUCCUACCUUUCUUCUCGAUCCACUUGAUCACAAAGCAACCUUUCUAGAACAUCGUUUUCGCCAUCACAAGACAGUUGGUUCCAGAUGUUAACAAGAUCAACCUUGCUGGGAAAUGAACAAGCGACCAGAUGAGGGAAUGGAGGCUUAGAGAGGAAGAAUGGUCCAAGAUGGUGCAGCAAAUGGCAGCCUCAGGAAGAGGAUCCUGACCAGUUCCCUGAAAGUUUUGUAGGCUCCUACCAGUGAAAGCCUCCUCACAACUCUCUUCUUCUCCCCAAGGACUGCGUGCAAUUCUACUUGGAGAUCUUCAUAACACCUUAAGGGAAAAAUCCUUUUUGAAAGAAAAACAAGUCUGGGUGGUGCUUGAAAAUUCAGAAGGCAGCUAGAAACUCUGCCAAUUACAACUGGUGAUUGCUGAGUUCUGGAGACAGACUGGGCUUCUGCUUUCUUUUGGUGGAGGUGUCUGCUUGCAGAAAAUUUAUGUUCUGGGAUUUACAACUUCAGGGAGACAAAGGAAACUCCAGCUCAUCUCCCACAUCAUUGAUUGAGAGGACCAUUUUCUGACUGUCUGCACACGUUUCCUAUACUACCCUUUAAUGCAACAAUGGGAUGAAGAGAUGAAGACUUCUAGCAGGCUACCUCAGAAAGGUUGCUGACCAAAGGCUGUAUGGACCAAAAAGUCAUAACACCACCCUGGAUGAAAGGACAUUUACCUAAGGAAUUACCCGCUCUCAAUUCUUCCCAGGUGCAUGUAGUAUAGAUUAAAUAAGGUGGUUGUAUGGCAACAGAGACAUUAUUAGAAACAUUCUUCUUGAAGUUUGACAACAAAGCAGUAGAUGUGUAUCUACUACAGAGUUGUUAGUGAAAAAAGGGAUGGGCAUUUGAAUUAUUUCCAGUUUUUGGCUAUUAUGAAAAAAACUGCUAUGAACAUUCAUACACAAGUGUGUGUGUGGACCCAUGUUUUCACUGAUCAAGGCCUAAAUACCUACGUGGUGCUUCGUGAACCCUGGAUGCUACAGUCUCUGGCCACAGCACUAAAUGUAUGCUGAGAUCUGGCUUCACGGUCGAGGGUGUUGCUGGUUUUCAAUGUGCCUGACAUAGGAUCAAUGGUGAAUGCACCAGAAGCCUCAUCAGUCAGAAAAUACUCAGUUUGCCCAUUCAGGCCUUCAUCCUUGUCCACAGCUGAAAGCACAAGAACCACUGUUCCCACUUCAGCAUCUUCUCUCACAGAGGACUGGUAAUAAAGUGUGGGAAAAGAAGGACUGUGGUCAUUGGCAUCCAAAACUCUAACUUGCAGGUGUAUUACAGAGCUCCUAGGUGGAUCUCCCAGGUCAGAGCACAGAAUGACAAGGGUAAAAUUGCUGAUUUGCUCCCGGUCCAAAGCACGAGUGGUUGAGAGUUCUCCUGACAUCUCAUUUAUAGUAAAGCACUCAUCAGUAUUUCCAUCUAUUAAAGAAAACAAUUACAAAUUCAUUUGAAUUGAAAAAGUAGCAGCUCUUUGCUAGCACUAUCUAUGGUAUUCAUUUAUACAUUCAUUAAAAAUAUAUUUAUUCCCGA